CAGCAAGAAAGCAGAUUACUGAAUAAGCACAGAGUGCACACUUGCAGCAAUGAGUCUUCGGAAGUCAAGUAUCAGAAUUAAGAUGUCGUUAUCAGCCAUCUGUUCCUGGUCCUGCUUGCAAUUUCUUCCAUCAAAGAAAUAAUUCCAGGCAUGAAACACCUCAUUGGAGCAACAAUCACCUGAAACCGCCAGGGUGCUGCGAUACAAGGGCAGGCCUGGCUUGCAGGAAGAACAGCGAUUGACAAGACCUCCUCAUUUCACUUUCCUCCCUCCUCCCUGUU
rnacentral:lncRNA from 1 species